AGGGCAGUGGCUUAGUGGUAGAGAUCCCGCUACGUGUCCGGGAAGACCUGGGUUCGAUUCCCGGCUGCUUAC
rnacentral:tRNA from 1 species